CAGGAUCUGCAGACAAAGCUCGCUCGUCGGCGGGGCGCAUACACAAGCGGCGGUCGCGCCGUCUCCGUUUCUCUUCCUUUUUUCGGCUGUUUCAGAGCAUCUGCUCCGCGGCGGCCGAGCGAACCAUGCGGGCGCUUGACGUCCGCCUGUCCGCGUCGUACGCCGCCUCGCGGUGUCUCGGCCGGUAGCUCAGGUGGUUAGAGCGCACGCGUGAUAAGCGUGAGGUCGGGGGUUCAAGUCCUCCUCGGCCCACCAGACGCUUGGCAGUUAGGGACGUGGACCGGAUCGGGACCUUAGCUCAGUUGGGAGAGCGGUAGCUUUGCAAGCUUCAGGUGGUCGGUUCGAUCCCGACAGGCUCCACCAUCCGGCGCUGUCGUCUUAAGGUUCGUUAAAAGGAAAACACAGGUUUCCGCCGCGGCUUCGCGGCGGGAUGUUUGCACAUCUUGAGGGAGGAUCAGUCCGCCGCCCGGCCGCAGUUCAGGGUGUAGCGUGGUCUUAGCCGACACCCCCGCGUCACAGCGCGGCCUUCUCAGGGGUGAUCUUCAAGAAACCAACAUGUCCGAUCAUGAGAUCCGUGCCGGACCGGUGUGUUCACCUCCGCGCAUGGGUUUCUCUGAGUGAUCAAGCGUCAAAAGGGCAUCCGGGGGAUGUCUUGGCGGUAAGAGGCGAUGAAGGACGUGGCACUCUGCGAUAAGCGCCGGGGAGGCGAGAGCACCCUUUGAUCCGGCGAUUUCCGAAUGGGGAAACCCGGAAGC
rnacentral:misc_RNA from 1 species